GCCAUUAAGGGUCUACAUUAUUUUAAUUGAAAUAAUGUAGAGUCUUUCAUCCUCAAGAAUCUCGAGGAAUCCCAAAAUAUUAAACAUGUGUGAGAGAGGGAGGUGAACAAGGAAGACCAAGUAUAAGGAAAUGUAUUUGCAACGGAAGGAUCAGAAGUGCAUCAUGAGAACUUUUUUUCUGGGUUAAAUGGCCUACUAUAGAGGCUUAGAAAGGAUUUAAGAACAAGGUAAGCACUGGAUAAUCUUCUUUUUGCUGUACUCUCACAGUUCCUGGGAAUCAGAAGCCAAAUGUCUUCCUGACCCAAAGACUUUGUCUGUCUUCCCAUAUUAAUAUCCACUAAUGGAUGUGUUCACCACUAAACUGCAGUUCAUUUUCAAACACAUACUUUUAUCAUAGAUAAAAAUCUGUAGCAACAGACUGCACCGUGAAGUAAUGCAGCAUGGAAAAGUAUUCCUUUGCUUUUCUCUUGGUUUGAAGAGCCAAAUCUGGGGAGGGGGAAACAUACAUACUCCUGUGAGAAGGUUCUAUAGCUGUGCCUAUGCACCUUAACUUCAUACCAUAAUCUUUCUUCUCUUUACAAGAUUUGAAGCAAAGAAAACAACACAGCAUGAAAAUGGUGUGUAUUUGGUCAGCUGAGAUGGAGUUAAUUUUCCCAAUGGCAGCCCUCAUAGUACUGUGCUGGAAAGAUGUUGGUAACUCACCAGUGUUCUGGUUACAGCUGAGCAAUGCUGUGCCUCCAGCAUUCCCCUCUCCCAGCAGUCUGGUGAGCAAGAUCUUGGGAGGUGACAUAGCCAGGCCAGAUGAUCUAAACUGACCAAAGGGAUAUUCCAUAGCAUAUGAUGUCUGCUCAACAAUAACAGCCAAGAGAAAGGAGAAGAGAGGAGGACAUUUGUUACUACGAUAUUCGUCUUCUGGAGCAACUACUAUGCAUACUAAAGCCCUACUUCUCAGGAAGUGGCUGGACAUGGCCUGUUGAUGGGAAGUCGAUAAUAAAUCUGUUCUUCACUUCCAUGCAUGGCCUUUGCUUUUGCUUUAUUAAACUGCCUUUAUCUUGA